rnacentral:pre_miRNA from 1 species
AUAUGAAUCACGUGGGAAUCUUAUUAAAAUGCAAAUUCUGAACAGUAGGCCUGGGGUGGGGCCAGAGAUUUUGCAAUUUCUAAUAAGCUGUCAGGUGAUGAUGAU